rnacentral:rRNA from 1 species
GGAGGGAAGCGAAUGCAGCUGAAGAAGUUCUCUUUCAGGCUCAGGGGCGUUGCCACGGCCUUCCGGCUGGUGGAAGCCGUCGAGGCGCCGGCAGUUGGACGGUCGAGUGACCAGCAUUCCUGGGGAGAGCUGGCCAACAACAGUUACGCCUGGCUCAUGAGGAGAACUUAUAGCCAUCCGUGACUGAGGAGAACAGUGCAGGCCCCCGGGUCGCCUCUGCUCGUUUCACCGCGCUGUUGGCAGUGUUCAGUGACGGACUGUCUGCUCGUGCGGGGGAUCGGCCACGCCUUGCACUGUGGUUGUUGGUGCCCAAAUGGCUGCAUCCGACCCGUCUUGAAACACGGACCAAGGAGUGCAACAUGCGUGCGAGUCUUUGGGUGGCAAACCCGACGGCGCAAUGAAGGUGAAGGUGGGCCACACUGUCGACCGAUCCCAGGCUACGCUGUGGCGGGAUUUGAGUAAGAGCGUGCCUGUUGCGACCCGAAAGAUGGUGAACUAUGCCUGAAUAGGGUGAAGCCAGAGGAAACUCUGGUGGAAGCUCGUAGCGAUUCUGACGUGCAAAUCGAUCGUCAAAUUUGGGUAUAGGGGCGAAAGACUAAUCGAACCAUCUAGUAGCUGGUUCCCUCCGAAG